UGGAGUUCAUACAGGAUAUAAAAGACAGAUAAUUCACGUAGUAGAAUCUAAAUGAAAAAUUGGUGAAACACAUUCAUGACCAAAUAAAAGAAUAGGUAACCCAGCCCACCCCAAAAACAGCUCAACCACCAUGAAAAGCUAGAACAUAUUAAUUCCCUAGACUUGACCCUCCCUGAUUAACAACAUUAUUAAGCAGUGGUUCCUUUAUUAAAGGUAUAGUGGCCGUGCUGCUACAUCCCUCUUUUCCCAAAGCAGAAAUCAGGUGCCUGCAUUAAACAAUGCAAGAGUGAGAUGACACAUCUCAGCAAGUAAACAGAGCAAACCACAAUUGGUUAAUGUAAACCAACUGUGCUUAAACAACCACGUAGUUCAAAACUUCCUUCUUGAAUAAUAAUUUGCAGCAAGUAAGCAAGUAACUAAUUACUUAACGCCAAGAAGAAUCACAAUGUAAAAAUCCACACUAUCCACAUCCACAUAAUAAAUUCCACACCUCUCCCAUGAAUGCACAUGGCUACAGAUGCAGUAAUGACUUCUGCCUUCAUAUCUCUGAGGAUAUGAAGCUGCAUCAUACCCCUUCUCGGGCAACAUAUGAUGCUCAAUGUACCGGUACGGUCGGACCAUAAGAUCACGAUGAACUUCCAUGCAAUGAAUAAUGAAUGCAGUAUGCAUGACAACAACAUGAGUUCUUCCCAAAUAAUAUGUGCUAGACAUAUACUUCCACCCAUUCCACAUAAUAACCAAUUGAGUAACAUGAUCAAACCACAAACUCAACAUAUGUAAUCAAUAAAACACGAAUAUCUUCAAAUGAUGGUACUCAAUUAAAAAUAUGAAUACGAACACAAUAGCACAACAUAAUCAAGUAUAAGACUCUUCAUUCGACAGACGGAAUAACCAUCACUGUUUUACUUGCCUUCACCGGAAGUUUGGGCAAAUCCCUAAGUACGAUCUGAAAGUCCACCACCUAUUUUUGACACCCAACUUAGUGCACCAAAUUCACAUAAUAAGCCUCAAAAACAACACCGCACCUACGCGCAGUCUCAAACCCCGCCGCGGGUAACAAUUCUCCCCACACCCACCAAACUGCAGCGGCGCUGCAUAACAAUUGCAUAACUUUAAAAUUAAGACAGCAGUGAUGACAAACAAAAACUCCAGAGACAACUACAUAAAAUUCCCCAUAAGUUUUGUAUACAAUUUAUAAUUAAAUUCCAACAUCUAACUACCCCAAAACGGUCCACAAGAUAAACCCUGCAAUCUGUUUUUUUUCUCUUUUGGGCAGCGACAUACUCGGAUUCAAACAGCGAUAACUUUUAAAAUAUAAUUCCGAAUCGAGCGCAUAAGUACUUGUUGGAAAGUUAAGAAAAAGCCCUACAUGAUUCUCAUACUGAUUAACAUUAAUUACUCACGAAAAAUCCCCAGAAACUGCUAAUACUGCUGCUGUUCGUCCACCUGAAAAUCUGUUUUUUUGGAUAGCCACAUACCCGGAUUCAAACGGUGAUAUCUUUUAAUUUAUAACUCCGAAUUGAGCGCAUAAAUACUCGUUGGAAAGGUAUGCCAAAGUUCUACAUGAUUCCCAAACUGAUUCCCAUUAAUUUCCAACGAAAAAUGCCCAGAAACCACUAAUACUGCUGCUGUUCGUCCACCCCCUAAAAUUCUGGACAGCCCUUCUACCAAAUCGCAUACGCAACAUCUAAUCAAUUGGAUUGCAGCACAAAUGAACAAGAGAUAAACACAAAAAUCACCUUGGAUUCUCCCCCUUUCCUUCCUCCCUUCUUCCCUCCACCGUAAAC
rnacentral:lncRNA from 1 species